rnacentral:rRNA from 1 species
GAUUCUGGCUCAGAUGAACGCUGGCGGCGUGCUUAACACAUGCAAGUCGCGCGUGAAAGGACUUCGGUCCGAGUAAAGCGGCGCACGGGUGAGUAACGCGUGGAUGAUCUACCCAUGAGUUAGGAAUAACGGCUGGAAACGGUCGCUAAUACCAAAUACGCUCCGAUUUCAACUUCGGGGGAAAGGUGGCCUCUGCUUGCAAGCUACUGCUCAUGGAUGAGUCCGCGUCCCAUUAGCUAGUUGGUGGGGUAACGGCCCACCAAGGCGACGAUGGGUAGCCGGUCUGAGAGGAUGACCGGCCACACUGGGACUGGAACACGGCCCAGACUCCUACGGGAGGCAGCAGUGGGGAAUAUUGCGCAAUGGGCGAAAGCCUGACGCAGCGACGCCGCGUGAGGGAUGAAGGUCCUCGGAUCGUAAACCUCUGUCAGGAGGGAAGAACCGCCACGGUGCUAAUCAGCCGUGGUCUGACGGUACCUCCAAAGGAAGCACCGGCUAACUCCGUGCCAGCCGCAGC